CUGGUGGGAUGAAACCCACGACCCCCAGAGGAGAAACCUCUAUGCUGCGAACGGCCACCACCACGGUGAUCCUUAGAGGGCAGCGUACCUGUUCGAUGACCAUAAAAGCAAAUGAAGAGUUAGAUUCACGAAGAGAGGUGAGAAUCUCAUACCCGUGGAGGAGUGGAAGGAUCUCGGCGUAAGAAGGCUUAGGAGGUUUCAACAUUGAGGUGGUGAAUGGUUCGUAGCGGGCACCGAGGCUAUUCAACAAGGAAAAAACUUUCAUCUUGUCAAUAGCUGACCGUCCGAUCGAAGCUAAGCUGUAGCACAAGCCUUUGAAGGUUCAGAGGUGAUCUGCAAGAGGCGUCUUGGGCUCAUUCUUGAGGUAUGUCAAUUGCUGAGUGAGAUGGAACUCUCGCUCCUACGAGUCAUGGGCGUACGCCGCCUUAAGUGCUGCCCAAACCUGCUGGGCUGAAUCUAAACCCACGACGAGGCCAAGAGCCUCUUCCAAGAGGGUGCCAAUAAUCCACCCCCGUAAUAGUCGAUCAGACUUACGCCACUAGAGGUAGGCCUUUGAUUUAUUUGAGUUCGAUGAUCCAUCGGGAGAGGUCUCGAAUUCUGGAGGGGUAGAGUUUGCUUGUAGCAAAUGGUGAACUAGAUCUUGGCUAUCAGCCAAGGCUAGUAUUUGUUCACACUAGAGUGGAUGGUUGCUAUUGGAGAGAUGCGGGGGGAACAAAAUUUCCCACGUUCAAGGCAAUGGUGGCCAUGGAGGAAGACUGUCUUCACACACACGGUCUCUGAUACCAUAAAGCAAAGUGCAGACAGACUGUUUGAUAGAAAGUCUCAGUAAUCGGAUAUGUACAUUGGAUCAAAAAGGGAAGUGCCUAGCCUUUGCAUGUGAUGGGCUUUCCUUUGAGAAGUUGGCUAGCUGUUGCAUGAGAUGGUAAUUAGUCCUUUGAUUGUGUGGAUUCUGUAGCCGUUGCAUGUGCUUCACUUGGUAAGUCUUCUGAGGAUUGAAGAGUUGGUUGUUAAAUAUUGUUAAUAAUGCACACAGAGCUUCUUCAGCAUUUGACUAAUGAACGAGGUUGUGUAGGGCAACCAAACUAUCUGAGGCACAGUCCCUAGCAUGAGUUGUCCCAAUUGCAAGUUUUUUAGAAGUUGCAAUGACGACUUAUACUUCCAUUCAAACUUCAAAGUGUCUGCAAGGCCGAUUUCUUAUAGAUUUAAUGCAGCCUUUUGCAGUAGCUUUGUAAUCUGGAAAUUCAACCUGUUACAACUUCCAUUUUAGAUAUUAUGUUAAUGAUUUUAUUCUGUACAACUUCCAUUUGUAAUCCUUUCUUCUGCAGAGUGUUAAGCCCAAGUUCUUCCAAUUUCAUUCCUA